rnacentral:lncRNA from 1 species
UUCCUAUCUACAAGAAACCUCUCCCUCCUCCUGUGCCUGUCUAUGUAAAACCUCUUCCCCCUCCUGUGCCUAUCUAUAAGCCUCCUGUAUAUGUAAAACCUCUCCCUCCUCCAGUGCCUAUCUAUAAGCCACCUGUUUACGUGAAACCUCACCCUCCUCUUGUGCCUGUUUAUAAACCACCUGUAUACGUGAAACCUCACCCUCCUCCUGUGCCUGUCUAUAAACCACCUGUAUAUGUGAAACCUCACCCUCCUCCUGUGCCUGUCUAUAAGCCUCCUAUUAUUCCAGUUACUAAACCGCUUCCACCACCGGUUCCGUUCAAGAAACCAUGUCCACCAAAGAUUGAGCAUCCAAUUCUACCACCUGUUCCAAUAUAUAAACCUCCAAUAGUUCCAAAGCCACCGGUGGUUCCGAUCGUCAAGCCACUUCCUCCUCCAGUUCCAAUUUACAAACCACCAGUUGUCACUAAACCUUUUCCUCCAUUCAAGAAACCACCAUGUCCACCAAAGAUUGAGCAUCCAAUUCUACCACCUGUUCCAAUAUAUAAACCUCCAGUAGUUCCAAAACCACCGGUGGUUCCGAUCGUCAAGCCACUUCCUCCUCCAGUUCCAAUUUACAAAC